rnacentral:lncRNA from 1 species
AGCCUUAUCCUACUAUUAAGUAAACACUUCAUCCAAUUUCCAUUUCAAUUUUAUCGUUGCUGCCGACACAAGUCAUUAAAAUGCACAAGCUAGCUUUGCAAUUAUUCAUUCAAAUAACACUUUAAAUUGUGAGGGGUAUUCUUGCUCCUGAACUUGCAGAGCUGCCAUCCACACCUCACUGAAACACUCCUGGAAAAACGCACCGAUGGGAAAGUGGCCUUUCCAUCCUGAUUCGCCUCCGCUCAAAGAUCUGCUUCUGUUCACAGGAGGAAAAUGAACUCUCAUGCAAAUAAGGCAACAACGGACUCACCAUAAACAGAGAGAGAAAUUAUAACCUGUGUCCAGCAAGCUCAUUGCCUGGCAAUCUUCCUCCCUUUCAUUUGCAGAGUAGCACACUAAAAGCUGGCAAGACAGACUUUAUGCAAAGCCCUUCUGCAGUAAAGGAAAUUUCUCUGCAGACGAAUGUUGGAUUAAACAAAUUCCCUGGUCCAAGUGGUAGGGCACAUGUUGUGCUCCUGUUCUCUGAGAUGGGGCAGCAGCCUCUUACCAGCUGUUACACCUAUGAACAUUUGUGCUUUCAAAUAAAAAUAUUGUUAAAAUGAAAUCUAUAUUUGUGCUUCCUAUGUUGCUGGUCUUAAAAGUAGACAGGUAUGACAAGGCCUAAAAAAGAGCUUGGAGAGUUU